UACGUAGGUGGCAAGCGUUGUCCGGAUUUACUGGGCGUAAAGCGUAUGCAGGCGGAUUCUUAAGUAGGAAGUGAAAGGUUGGAGCUUAACUCUAACACUGCUCCCUAUACUGGGAACCUUGAGUGCCGGAGAGGAAGACGGAACGACACGUGUAGCGGUGAAAUGCGUUGAGAUGUGUCGGAACACCAAUGGCGAAAGCAGUCUUCUGGACGGAUACUGACGCUGAGAUACGAAAGCCAAGGUAGCAAACAGG
rnacentral:rRNA from 1 species